rnacentral:rRNA from 1 species
CAGUCGCCACGGUAAUACGAAGGGGGCUAGCGUUGUUCGGAAUCACUGGGCGUAAAGGGUGCGUAGGCGGAUUCUUAAGUCAGGGGUGAAAUCCCGAGGCUCAACCUCGGAACUGCCUUUGAUACUGGGGAUCUUGAGUCCGGAAGAGGUGAGUGGAACUGCGAGUGUAGAGGUGAAAUUCGUAGAUAUUCGCAAGAACACCGGUGGCGAAGGCGGCUCACUGGUCCGGAACUGACGCUGAGGCACGACAGCGUGGGGAGCAAACAGGAUUAGAUACCCCCGUAGUCCCUGUCUCUUAUAA